GAGUUUGAUCCUGGUUCAGAACGAACGCUGGCGGCGUGCCUAACACAUGCAAGUCGAACGGAGGUAAGGAGCUUGCUCCUUACUUUAGUGGCGCACGGGUGAGUAACGCGUAGAUAAUCUGCCUGAUGAUCUGGGAUAACACUUCGAAAGGGGUGCUAAUACCGGAUAAGCCCACGGGGUCUUUGGAUUCUGCGGGAAAAGGGGGGGACCUUCGGGCCUUCUGUCAUCAGAUGAGUCUGCGUACCAUUAGCUAGUUGGUAGGGUAAUGGCCUACCAAGGCUACGAUGGUUAGCUGGUUUGAGAGAAUGAUCAGCCACACUGGAACUGAGACACGGUCCAGACUCCUACGGGAGGCAGCAGUGGGGAAUUUUGCGCAAUGGGCGAAAGCCUGACGCAGCAACGCCGCGUGAGUGAUGAAGGCUUUCGGGUCGUAAAGCUCUGUCAAUGGGAAAGAAGUGUAUUAUGGCUAAUAUCCAUGAUACUUGACGGUACCCAUAAAGGAAGCACCGGCUAACUCCGUGCCAGCAGCCGCGGUAAUACGGGGGGUGCAAGCGUUGUUCGGAAUUAUUGGGCGUAAAGAGCGUG
rnacentral:rRNA from 1 species